UUCUCUGUGGCACAAUUAGUUAGUGCGUUCGGUUGUUAACCAAAAGGUUGGUGGUUUGAGUCCCUCCCAGGGACA